rnacentral:sRNA from 1 species
GAGAUUCCCACUGUCCCUAUCUACGAU